CCCUCCCGUACGAUUGCCUAAUCUUUACCCUCGCUCGAAACGUUCACCUCCGCCGCAUCCGCCGCCUCUCUUCCCAACCUCUCCUAGGGUUUGUGCCCGCGCCGCUGCCCUCCACUCACCUGUGCCGCCCAACUCCUCCGUCGGACCCCACUGCCUCCAUCCCCUUCACACCCUUCUCCUUCACCCCCUCACUCAUGACGCCUAGCUCUAGGCUCUGCUCCAAGAUGUCGCUGCCGCCUCGCUGUAGUCCGUCGCCGCGCGAGAACUGCUGCCGGAUCAGGCCGCCUCGCUCUUCAUCAAGACCUCACCUCUCUUCUCUUCCCCCUUGCCAGCGCCAUGGGAACGCUCCCCCAUCUAUUUUCCUGCGGCAUACAUCAAGGUUAUCUUCCCCCUUCCCAGAGUCCGCUCGCUUCUUCUCCCGCCCUCUCGUGAAACUCUAGCGGCCGACGGGAAGAUGAGAAGAUGAUGCAUGGUGAGACGACGAGCCUGGCGGCGUAGGCGUGCAGGUGGUGGUGGGGGAGGAUGGCGGCGGCUUGCACCACAUCGUUGUCCCCAAAUCUCAAAUCCUGCACUACGUCGCACGGCCGUUGCAGCCUGCAGCCCUGCAGGCGAUUGAGUCUUGCAGCCAGCAACCCAAUCAGUACAACAGGGCCUAAACCCCAAUUCUGCAAGUGCAAUUUCCCUUCACGGGGUGCCAGCCAAGCUAAGCUAUAAGCAGCGUGGAACUAUGGUCUUUUUUUUCAUGAUUCUUAAUUUUCUUAGUCUCAAUGCAGUCAUGCAGGCCUGUCUCGAUGUCUCAUCAAUUGACGCGUAUGACUGCAUGAUUUAUCAAAUUGGAUGAUUAGUCUCUCCUUCACUUGAAUUUUUUUAAGAUAUGAAUUUUGGACUGACAUACUUGACUGCAAUUUUGAGAUCACCCAUCAGUACUUUCCUAGAAGCUAAUGGUGAGAUAAUUUUCAAAAAUCUACAACUUCUAAUAUACCUGAAACGGAAUGCAAUGUGCUAAAGCUCUUUUCCUCAUGUAAUACCGACCUCGGUUUGAAAAUUGUACACCUUUCUUAAAUUUCAGCGCCGGUGGUGGCGGCACCGGUGGCCCUCCCUCCCCGUGAACGACGACGCCGGUGGCCACCACGGAUGGCCCCGCGUAGGCUGCCGCCGCCGCCGCCGCCUUCACCGUGGAUGACGCAGCGACUGGUACGGUCACCCCCGCCGCCGUCCGUUGCCUCCGGAUAGACUGAUAACGGCCUCAACCUGCUCCCCGAGAGGGUCCAACCCCAGACCUCUUGAUCUCGAGCAAUCAACGACUGCCUAGAGAGAAUGGUGGUCAUUCUUAUACAAAGGUAAUCAGCUAUUGUGAAGCAGUGUAAACUUCAGGGAAUUUAGUAUUAUGAGGUUUCAUGGAGAAACAUGUCUGAGCUCAGACCUUCAGCUUUCCAGGGAAUAUCAUUAGAAGGUAGAUAACUCUGAGAAGGAGCUGGAAGAGAUGAUGCAUAUACAAGGCUGGAGUUUGUGGCAUCCCUCAGAAGUGGAGUGCUUGACAUGCUGUUCUUUGUUCGGGUAAAUCGAAGGUUUCUUUGGCUGGCCGUUCUUUUCUUCCAACAAAUAAAGGGGAGAGCUUUACAUUCUUUGGGGUUUUCUAAUUUCAAUCAUUAUAUUAAGUGGUUACUUCUUUAUGUGAAGCACAGCUAGAUACUGUUUUUUCUCCAUGAGUUUCUAAAUUUUCAGAUAUGCCUGAACUUAUUUUCAGGUGAAGAGAAGAAAGCAACCUGCCACUAUUGCUCUUCAGUCAUCAACCAGUGUAUAUACAAUGAGAUGCUCCAACUUGUGACAUAUAAAACAAGGGUGAGCUGUGUGAGGUUGUCAGAAUGACCAGUAACAAGUAUGAUGCCUCAAUAGAUGGAACAAAGCGGUCCAUGGAGAACCAAGGUACUUCAGGUUAUAAUGGCUACAUUGUAGAACUUAGCUGGGAGAGUGUUGGUCAUCUUUUCUAUCUACAUGCGCAUGCCCAGUUCUCUCAAUUCUCUCUAGGUUUAGCUACAAUUCUAUUGACAGAGUCUAAAUUUCCUUAACAAGAUUUAUAAGUUUGAACGUUUAUGCUAUUGAUAUGACUUUCUCUCAGUGCUUUCCCUGGGCCUUGCUGAUGGUUUCAUUGUAAAAUGGGUAACUCUCCGCUGUACAAUCAAUUCAGCCAACUUAACUUUCUCUCCUAUCAGCCUAUUUUGUCAACUUAUUUAUGUUUAUGUAUUACUGUGGCUUGGUUAGAUUUUGGUUUGCUUCAGGUGGCAACCAACAAAGAAGAAUCUGGGAGAAGCAUUGUGCUGCCAUGGGUUUUCCUAGAUUUCCCCUUCUCAGGCGAUCGCCCCGAUCCCCCGCUCUCCUCCGAAGCGGCUGCGGCGCCGUCCGCGCAUAGCGCCUUCCUCGCCCUGCACGCAUCGUGCUGCUGUCGAUUGCCACCCAUCCCUCGCCGCCUACCUCGGCGCCCUCCUCGCAACGCGACGCCGCUGCUCUCCACCCAAUCCGUGCUGCCGCCCUCGUCGCAGCACGAUGCCACCGCUCGCCACCCAGCCUGCAACACCGACCUAGCCGCCCUCGUCGCAGCACGCCGUCGCCGCUCUCCACCCAGCCACGACGAAGAGGCGUCGUGCCGCACGCCGGCGACGUCCAUCUCAGAGAGCUUCUUCAGCUUUCUUGCAACGCUUGCUCGCUGAUAAGGAUAGCAACAGGAGUCAGGAGGCAGGUCCCAGGGUUCGGGUCCAGCAGCUGCACCAAUUUCAAUUUUCAGCACGCUAUUCAGGUCCUUUCUCUCGCGUUCGCCGUGCAGCCUGCUAGGUGGCUGCGGCCUUGAACGCGAGCACGAGGAAAAGCUGCAGCACUGGACGAGGCAGCGGAGGAAGAUCGGGAGGCAGUCUCCGACGCCGGAGGGAGCUCGGGAGGCGGUCUGCGGCGGCGGAGGCCCCUCGGGAAGCAAUCUGUGACGGCUGCCAGGGAGAGAAGGGGUAACGGGGAAGGAGACGGGAACUGAGGACGUUUACUUUCUUUACGUUUUUACCCCUUCGUGAGAAUACUCCAUCCAGUUAUUCCACACGUCCAAAUUAGAGUAUUAAGGAGUAGCAACUCAUUUCAGCCCUUAGAUUAAAACAAAUGAAUGGUCCUAAUUAAUUUUGGGGUACAGUAGAAGGCCUCUUAUAUUAACUUAAUAACUACUUUUUUUUCGGGUGAACUUAAUAACUACUGUUAGGGCUCAUUUCUUAUGGGUAUCUGUAUUGUGUUCGCUAGUUAACUUUUUUGAUUGUAUUUUUAAUUGCUAACCACAUUUGCCACGUGGUUGUUCCGUGGUUAACUUAGUUCCAAGCAGUGAUUAUCCAAUGUAUUUUUGUUUCAUUU